AAGUCGUAACAAGGUUUCCGUUGGUGAACCUGCGGAAGGAUCAUUAUCGAAUGAACUUUUGAAACAGGUUGUUGCUGGCCCUUUCAGGAGGGUAAUUGUGCACGCUUGUUCAAAUCUUUAUUCUCUCCUGAUGUGCACAUAUUGGUAGACCCUUUCCAUGUUUUUGUUUCCAGAACAGAUAGAGAGUUUGCUGUGCUUUUUCAAGUCGGCUUACUCUUGAAAGGGAGGGUGUCUAUGUUUACAAAAAAGAUGCUGUUUAGAAUGUCCAUAAUAAAAAAGUUAUAAUACAACUUUCAGCAACGGAUCUCUUGGCUCUCGCAUCGAUGAAGAACGCAGCGAAAUGCGAUAAGUAAUGUGAAUUGCAGAAUUCAGUGAAUCAUCGAAUCUUUGAACGCAUCUUGCGCUCCUUGGUAUUCCGAGGAGCAUGCCUGUUUGAGUGUCAUCAAGUUCCUCAAGCCCAUGCUGAGCCAUGGUCUUGGAUUAUGGGGGUUUAUUUGUUUGCAGGCUCCUUGAAGUCGGCUCCCCUGAAAUGCAUUAGUGGUAUCUGAGCAGAGAGAGAACUACGCAUAGGUGUGAUAAUUAUCUACGCCUUUGGUAGUGCCUUGCAUUUACACCGCUUCCAAACCAUUGUUUGACAUAUUUGACCUCAAAUCAGGUAGGACUACCCGCUGAACUUAA
rnacentral:rRNA from 1 species